rnacentral:rRNA from 1 species
UACGAAGGGGGCUAGCGUUGUUCGGAAUUACUGGGCGUAAAGCGUGCGCAGGCGGCUUCUCAAGUCAGGGGUGAAAGCCCAGAGCUCAACUCUGGAAUUGCCUUUGAGACUGAGAGUCUUGAGUCCGGGAGAGGUGAGUGGAACUGCGAGUGUAGAGGUGAAAUUCGUAGAUAUUCGCAAGAACACCAGUGGCGAAGGCGGCGAUCUGGGAAGAUACUGACGCUGAGGUGGCGAAAAGCGUGGGGAGCAAACAGG